GUGCUCCCUGUGGCCCCACAUGUACUACAAUUGGCACAAUACAGAGAAGAUUAGCACAGCCUCUGUGCAAGGAUGACACGCAGAUUCGUGAUGUUCAAAAAAUAGAU
ensembl:snRNA U6 U6 spliceosomal RNA